GCACAUUAAGAAAAAAAUAAUUAAGAAAAUGGAUCAGAAGAAGUCUAUUAAUAGAUCAUAUAAGCAUAAAUGAAUACCUUUACUUUCAUUUGUUAAAUAGGUGUGCCUAUUUUAUCCAUCUCACUGUGAAGUACCUUUACUUUCAUUUGUUAAAUAGGUGUGCCUAUUUUAUCCACCUCACUGUGAAGUAGUCAACUUCUAUCAAGUAUUAAAGAAAAUGUUCUAUACUUAAUGAAUAAAUCUGUAAUGAAUUGCACCCAAGCUAAUUAGAAUACACUACCUUCUCAUACUAACUAAGUACCUACAUUCCAACAUACCAUCCCACCUAUCUUCAAAGCAAAACCCUCAGUCUCGUUGUCAAAAAAGCAUGGUCCGCCUGGUAUCCAUU
rnacentral:lncRNA from 1 species